UUCACGGCGCCCGUGAACAAACCUCCGUCGUCUCUCUCGCUCGCUAGGAGAAGAGAGGGGCGGCGUGCAUUCCCGGCCCGUUUCAGAAACCGUCGCGAGCCCUCCCCACGCCGACCGACACUCCAUCAUCCGCCGUCCAAUCCCCUAGAGCGCUAAUGUCCACGCUCUUCCUCGCUCCUCCCUGAGGCGACUCGGUAGAAGUCCGAAUCGCCAAGGACCGACGUUCCUCCGUCGUCCGCGUCCCCCCGCCCGCGGAUCCACGUCGCGGGGCUUGGACCCUUGACGGGCCCCAUACACGCGGGCGGGAUCGGGUGGAUCGCGUGGCAAUCCGACGGUCGGUGGUUGCGGCCUUCUGGUGUUGUAUCAUGGAAUAGAGGGGUCAAGCCGCGUGCGCUCCGGCACAUGAAACCCCCAAGCGUAACGGCCAGCAGCCCCGACAGCCACUAUAGGAUGGCGUCGCAAUCGCAAUCACAGUCGGAGUCGGAGGGGCCUCCUCGCUUAGGUUUCCUCAUGGAGGGGCCUGACCCAACCACCACCACUACCCCAUCCGCCGCCGGAACUCCGAUGCCCCCAAGCUGACCCUAGCGGAGGGAGAGAACUACCGUUCCUCCUCGAUCAUCCCCUCGCCGCCCUCCGCGGACACUGGCGCCGGGGAAGACCCUGUCGCACGGGUCGGUGUCGCUACUGGGGAGGCGGAGGGACAUGGAGGACACGAUGACGGAGGUGACGGGCUUCUCGGCAGGUGGGUACGGGUAGUUCGCGGUGUACAAUGGGCACGGGGGAGCGAUGGUGGCGCGGGCGUGCCGGGACCGGCUGCAGGUGGCUGUGACGGAGGGCCGCCCUGGUGGGUGAGGGGGCUGAGACGUGGAGGUGGGCGUGAAGGUGGACGCCGAGGUGAUGUUGGAGGCCCCGGAGCUGUAGCAGGGGUUGGUGGUGGGAGACAAGUGGAUCAUGGUGGCCACAUGCGGCGACUCCCGGACGGUGCUCUCACGCGGCGGGGUGGCCGUGUCCCCUUUCUAUCCAUCACGGAGACUACCUUCUCAAGCAGUUUUGACAAUGUUAGCGUGGUGGUGAUGGGGCUGAAGACUCACAAGGUGGUUGUCUCCUCCCAAUAAUUAUUGCUUAGUGACAUUGAUAGAUGGAUUGCAAGGUGUGCUUGAUACUACACUUUGUUUCAGCUUACUAAUGAUGCUGUCUAGCGCACAAGCAAUAGUUUCUCAACUCCAGUUUGUGUUGGCGGGGAACUGUGCAUCGCUUUAAGUGUAGAGAAACAGUUUAAGCAUACUAUAUAGAUAGAUUUGGAGCGUUCAAUGCUAUAUGCACUGCUAGAGUUCCAGUGUUCUAACACCUCUAGUUCUAUGCUUGUGCCUGAGUGGCUUUGUGCGCGCAAGGUGCUCGACCCGAGUUCCGUGACUGCGACGGCUUGAUGUGGCACGUUUUGCUUGCAGGAGAAGUAAUCGUCAAGCAACCAAUGGCUUUACGUGUUGCUUAGAGGAGAAGUAAUCAUUAAGCAACCGUGGCCUAUAGAACAGGUGAUGGUAUCUGUGUCAUUUAUGCAUAACGAACCAAUAUAACGGUUCAAAUAAUCGUUACGAGAUAAUUCUUUUGGUUGUUAUAAAUUCUGGGAACAACUUGCCACGAAGCGGCCCCCACGAGAUGGCCAACUCUAAAUAUUCCUGUCCGUCAACAUCUUCUUCUCUCUCUUUCUCUCCCUUCUCUUCUCCCGUUUCUUCUCUCGCUCCGAGGCGAAGUGGCGAAAAGGCGAGGAGAAGGACGAUGGACGGCGACCCAGAACUCGUGGGGGGAUUGGUGGGAAGAUGCAUCGAUGCGGCGACCGCAAGCGCGGAGAGCGUCGAGAGGUGGCGGAGGCAGCGGCGAACCCUGGAUCGCCUCCCCUCCUACCUCGCUGACGCCCUCCUCCGACGCAUUAUCCAACGCCGCAUCCUCCUCUACCCCUCCUGGCUCGAAAUUUUUCAGAAUUCUGCAGAGGAGAUUGACUUGAAAGGUGAGAGCUCGGUUGAUGUGGAGUGGUUGGCAUAUUUGGGUGCAUUUCGUCAUUUACGUCGUUUGAAUCUUGCCAACUGCAGGGCAGUCAACAAUUCUGCAAUAUGGUAUCUUUCAGGAAUGAAUAAUUUAAAAGAGUUGGACUUGUCAAGGUGCUCUAAGAUUACUGAUGCUGGCAUUAAGCAUGUUUUGGCCAUUCAAAAUUUGGAGAAACUACAUGUGUCGGAGACUGGAUUAACUUCUAAUGGAGUUGUUCUCCUUUCUUCACUUCAAAAUCUGAAUCUACUGGAUUUAGGAGGAAUUUCCAUUACUGAUGAGGCACUUUGUUCAUUACAGGUUUUGACAAAUCUUGAGUAUCUGGAUCUAUGGGGUAGUAAAAUUUCGAACAGAGGAGUUCCUGUCCUUGAAAUGUUUCCCAAGUUGAGCUUCUUAAAUAUAGCAUGGACAGAGGUCACCGAGUUGCCAUAUCUUCCUUCUAUAACAUGUUUGAAUAUGAGUAAUUGCACCAUUUGCUCUAUAUUUUAUGGAAAAGGCAGCACAAGUGCCCCUUUACUGAAGCUUUUUGGUCUUGGAGCCACUUUUGUUGAUGCUGACAAAGUAUUUUCCAUCAUAGAUACUAGCCAUGUAACGUACUUGGAUGUUUCUAGCUCUUCUAUUUGCAAUUUGCAUUUUUUGGUCAAAAUGGACAUGAUUGAGCACUUGGAUGUUAGCUUCUGUGGAAUAACUGAUGAUUCAGUUGAAUACAUUGCAAAAGCUGGGAAAGGUUUGAAAUUCUUGAAUGCCAGCAAUAGCAAGCUCACAUCCCAGGGAAUAUGUGUUUUGGCUGGAAAUGUCAUCAACUUGGAAACCCUGUAUCUGUCAAAUACAUCAGUUGAUGAUGUUGCACUUUCCUAUAUCGCAUUGAUGCCUUCUUUGAGGAUUGUUGAUUUAAGCCGAACAAAAAUAAAAGGUUUCGCUUAUGAAAAAAGUCAAGACAAUCUAGAGAAGACAUUCCCAUUAAGCUUGCUUCAGAAUCUCAGUCACCUGGAAAGUUUAAAUUUGGAAGAUACAUUAGUAGAAGAUGAAGCAUUACUUCCCUUGGUUUUCUUGAAACAAUUGAGAUGCCUAUAUCUGAAGAGUGAUUUACUCUCUGAUGUCUCCUUGCAUAUUUUGUCAUCAUUCUCUAGCUUGGAGUAUCUUGGAUUUCGCAAUGCUGUACUCAGCAAUUCUGGGCUUCUUCUUUUUGUGCCUCCAAAGGCACUUCAUACAUUAGAUUUGAGGGGGUGUUGGCUUUUGAUGGAGAAUGUUUUUUCAUCAUUCUGUAAACUACACCCUCAGAUUGACCUAAGACAUGAACUUGUUGGAACGGUUCCAAUUGAUGAAAAUGUUUCUGCUGGUUCAACUUCAUUACAUAAAACGUACCUAACAUCAGUAGUGAGAUCUGAAGGGUAUGAUGGGUGCUUUGUAGAUGAAAGAAUCAAGUACAGCAUGGAGGACUUGUUGGGGUUGCAGCUCUCAUCUUUAUCAACUCCAGCUUUGCAUGGUCUAAAUAUGCUACCAAAGGAACUGAAGAGAACAGAGGCACUUGCUGGAUUUGGCACAAAGUUAGCAGGACCUGAGGUACGCCCUCUUUCUCGUUUGGUGAACGGAGUUGGCUUACCACGUUUCUUCUGUUUUCAUGGACGGUGCAGAUCUGGCGGCAGCUCUUCCCAUUCGUCUUCCCCACAGACCUCAAGCUCAGUACAAAAAAUUUAUACACGGAGACAACAUAUCAACCAAAGAACCGCAUGAUCUCACCAGUAGUCACCACAGGAACAUUCCCCAUUACAAAUAUGAUGGAACCGACGCGAAGAUUCUUAAAUACCCGAAUAGGCUUUGGAGCUGAAGUGUUGAUGAGGCCGAAGGCAACUGCAAUCUUCUCGCUGUGCUGAAGCAGCAAACAGUUCAUCCAACUUGGCGUAGAUCUCCCAAGCCUGUGGGUGACUGGUAUCCCCUACAUGAAACUUGUGGAUGCUGUUCUCCAUCUCCACCCAGCUCAGUCCAGCUUCUUUGCUCAGCCUCCUCUCCUUCAUGCCACGCCUUAUCAUGGCCACAUCCUCCCAUCUGCCUGCCUCCGCAUACAAGUUCGAGAGCAAGACAUAGGCUGCUGGAUCCUCCGGAGCCAACUCCAAGAUGUUCUUGGCAACGAUUUCUCCCAGUCCGAUGUCUCCAUGAACUCUGCAAGCACCCAACAACGUCUUCCAGACCAAGGCAUCAGCUUCGGCCGGCAAUGACUUCACGAAGCCGAAAGCUUCUUCCACUCGGCCCGAUCGCCCCAGCAGGUCUACCAUGCAGGCAUAGUGUUCCAUCGUCGGAGCCACGCCGUGGUCCCUUUGCAUGGCGCGGAAGUGCUCCCACCCUUCUUCGAUCAGACCUGCAUGACUACAAGCAGACAGAACAGCGACGUAGGUCACCGCGUUCGGCUUCGCCCCCGUGGCCACCAUGUCAUGGAACAAUCCCAGGGCUCGAGCUGCAUCCCCGUGUUUGGCGAAACCGGUGAUCAUGGCGGUCCACGAGAUCACGUUGCGGUCACCCAUCUCGCCGAAAGCUCGGCAGGCGUCGUCGAUGCUGCCGCACCUCGAGUACAUGGAUACCAGCGAGUUACCCACGCCCACAUCUGACCCGAAUCCUGCCUUCAGCAUCUGGGCGUGCAAUUGCUGGCCUUUGCUCAUCAUCCCAACGCUCGCCGCCGCGCUCAGGAGACUCGCGAACGUGAAGGCACUCGCUCCCCCAUCCAUGCUCUCUAUCUGAUAGAGUAGCUCCAGGGCUUCUUCACAGUCUGAGUUCUUGGCAUAUCCAUCGACGAUUGCGUUGUAGGAGACCACAUUCUUCUCGUACAGUAAGCUGAAAGCUCUCCGGGCUUCUUCCAUCC